GAUGAACGCUGGCGGCGUGCCCAAUACAUGCAAGUCGAGCGAACGGACGAGAAGUUUGCUUCUCUGAUGUUAGCGGCGGCCGGGUGAGUAACACGUGGAUUACACACCUAUCAGACUGGGAUAACUUCGGGAAACCGGAGAUAAUACCGGAUAAUAUUUUGAACCGCAUGGUUAAAAAGUGAAAGAUGUUCUUGCUGCCACUUAUAGAUGGAUCCGCGAUGCAUUAGCUAGUUGGUAAGGUACCGGCUUACCAAGGCAACGAUGCAUAGCCGACCGGAGAGGGUGAUCGGCCACACUGAGACUGAGACACGGUCCAGACUCCUACGGUAUGCAGCAGUAGGGAAUCUUCCGCGAUGGGCGAAAGCCUGACGGAGCAACGCCGCGUGAGUGAUGAAGGUAUUCGGAUCGGAAAACUCUGUUAUUAGGGGAGAACAUAUUUGUAAGUAACUAUGCGCAACCUGACGUUACCUAAUCAGAAAGCCACGGCUAACUGCGUG
rnacentral:rRNA from 1 species